rnacentral:lncRNA from 1 species
GAGCAGCUCAGAUGCCAUGAAUUAAGUGAAGCACAAAAGGGGAAAAGGAGACCCUUUUGAAGAACAAAGGCCUCCCAUUGGGCUGCCAUGUUCUUUUUUUGACCAAAAGCGCACCCUGCUUGGUUUCCAUUGUUGUCCACAUGCCCUGCACAUAAGCCUGAACCAGCAAUGUGUGGUUUGUGAUCUGUUUCUACACGACAAAGCAAAGGUAUUAAGCUCCUGAUUUAUUC